AGCAGCCGCGGUAAUUCCAGCUCCAAUAGCGUAUAUUAAAGUUGUUGCAGUUAAAAAGCUCGUAGUUGAAUUUCGGGGUUAGCAGGUCGGUCGUGCCAUCGGUAUGAACUGGUCUCGCUGAUCCCUCCCUCUUGACGAACUGUGAUGCCAUUAAUUUGGUGUCGCAGGGAAUCAGGACUGUUACUUUGAAAAAAUUAGAGUGUUUAAAGCAGGCUCACGCUUGAAUACAUUAGCAUGGAAUAAUGAAAUAGGACGUUUGAUUCUAUUUUGUUGGUUUCUAGGAUCGACGUAAUGAUUAAUAGGGAUAGUUGGGGGCAUUAGUAUUCAAUUGUCAGAGGUGAAAUUCUUGGAUUUAUUGAAGACUAACUACUGCGAAAGCAUUUGCCAAGGAUGUUUUCAUUAAUCAAGAACGAAAGUUAGGGGAUCGAAGACGAUCAGAUACCGUCGUAGUCUUAACCAUAAACUAUGCCGACUAGGGAUCGGAUGAUGUUAAUUUUUUAAUGACUCAUUCGGCGCCUUACG
rnacentral:rRNA from 1 species